rnacentral:rRNA from 1 species
AAUUUUGGACAAUGGGGGCAACCCUGAUCCAGCCAUCCCGCGUGUGCGAUGAAGGCCUUCGGGUUGUAAAGCACUUUUUGCCGGGAGGCAAAGGCUCUGGCUAAUACCUGGAGCUGCUGACGGUACCUGCAGAAUAAGCACCGGCUAACUACGUGCCAGCAGCCGCGGUAAUACGUAUGGUGCAAGCGUUAAUCGGAAUUACUGGGCUAAAAGCGUGCGCAGGCGGUUCGGCAAGAAGGAUGUGAAAUCCCAGGGCUUAACCUUGGAACUGCAUUCUUAACUGCCGGGCUAGAGUAAGUCAGAGGGGGGUAGAAUUCCGCGUGUAGCAGUGAAAUGCGUAGAGAUGCGGAGGAAUACCGAUGGCGAAGGCAGCCCCCUGGGAUAAUACUGACGCUCAUGCACGAAAGCGUGGGGAGCAAAC